GUUCUGCCAGGAAGCCCUUCCCACCUGGCUGUGUCACUGGUCUGGGAACACAUUUUGAGAAUCACUGCUCUGGAGGCAGAGAAGUCCGGAGUUGAUGGGCCACUUCUGACUUUUGGAUGGGACAAACAUUCAAACCGUAGCAAUGUGUAAGAAUCCUCUGGAAACACUAUGGAGUGAUGGAGAAAGCACCAUCUGGGGAGUCAGAUGACCUGCUCUCUAUCCCAGCUCAUCAGGGAGUCUCUGAGACAAACACUUACCAGAGCCACUCUUGAUGAUAGAAUUGGUGAUGUGACAGCCACCAAAGGAAUGUGACACAAAGUAGAAAUGAGACCUGAGAUGUGGCCUGGACCUUUACCAUGGAAAUGCCCAUAAAUUGCGUCCCUAUUCCUUAAGAUUUUAUUUAAAGUUAUUUUCAGAAUGUUGUGAAGUUUCCAAUCAUACCAAAAUCUUCAAAAAAAAAAAAAAAAAAAAAAACCCACAGAAUUUACAUUUUAAAAGCACCAUUGUUGUCAUGAUAAUGGUGGCAAGUAAUUUUCAAAUUUGGGUUAUUUUAGAAACAGAAUAAAAGAAGACAACUAUAAUAUAAUCCCAAUAAACAAAAGCAAAUAAAAAGGCUAAAUCAUGGGACUAUCAGUAUAUAGAUUCUACUUAUUACUGUGGUAUUUGUUCCUUAUCUUUAUGAAGUAGUUCAUAUUUUUUAUUAUGCAAGUUUUUGAACAAAUACAAAAGUUCAGAAAACAGUAUAAUGAACAGCAUAUACCUAUCACUCAGGUAAUCCGGAUUUUUCACACUUGCAUCAUCUAUCUUUUGUUUGGGACUGAAAUAUUUUAAAGCACAUCUAAGACCUUAUCCUGACUUAUCUUUUCAUUUUAGUGAUCUCCUUGCAAGUAAUUGUAGCAGAUAAUAUUAUCAUCAUUUGAUAGGAGAAGCUGAGUCCCAUACUUUUAACUUGCCUAAGGUCACCCGAGGAGUUAGUAGCAGAGCUAUGAUCGCCUCUUUCUCAACUCCAUUAGACUUGCUGGCAUAAUUUCACAGUUCCCAGCGCCCCUUGUCCUUGAGAACUGUUCCCUGCGUAAGACUUAGUUUUAGCAGGUCUGUCCUUUUACUGUGUGACAACCCUAAC
rnacentral:lncRNA from 10 species